rnacentral:rRNA from 1 species
ACUACGUGCCAGCAGCCGCGGUAAUACGUAGGUGGCAAGCGUUGUCCGGAUUUCUUGGGCGUAAAGCGAGUGCAGGCGGUUCAAUAAGUCUGAUGUGAAGCUUCGGCUCAACCGGAGAAUUGCAUCAGAAACUGUUGAACUUGAGUGCAGAAGAGGAGAGUGGAACUCCAUGUGUAGCGGUGGAAUGCGUAGAUAUAUGGAAGAACACCAGUGGCGAAGGCGGCUCUCUGGUCUGCMACUGACGCUGAGGCUCGAAMGCAUGGGUMGCGAACAGGAUUAGAUACCCUGGUAGUCCAUGCCGUAAACGAUGAGUGCUAAGUGUUGGGAGGUUUCCGCCUCUCAGUGCUGCUAGUAACGCAUUAAGCACUCCGCCUGGGGAGUACGACCGCAAGGUUGAAACUCAAAGGAAUUGA